GUGCAAAUGGAAACUGAUGACUCAGAAGGAUUGUUCUGGGACUGGCUCAUUAGACUCUGCAGAAAAUACCACAAUGGCUUUUCCAGAGAGGGCAAAUGUGAUUCCAUGAAUAAACACGCUGUACUAACUGUUUAUCUGCUGCUGCCCAGAAAUGAGAACUGCUGAUGUACUAGGAAAGCUGGUUCUGUCUAGAGCUUCCCAUUCAGGAGGGCACUCACAUUAUGAGUAAAAAUGAGGAGAAAUAUUUAGGGUGUUUCCAACUAUUUCAGCUGUCUCUCCAAUUUCUGCAGCCAGGAGAAAGAACACAUGAAUUAAAGGUGGUCUCAACUCUGUCAUCAUUUAUUCAUCCCUACAGUUUACCACAUCUGAUAGUGUAGUCCAAGCUGUGUUGUGAGACCCUGGUGUGAAGUGCAUUAACUAUCAGCACUUAAAGUACUACUCUGUCAGCUGUUGACCAUAGGAACCCAGAAGAAAACCAGGCAGAUAUGUCUCUGAGAGUGCUGGCAGGAACCUUUGUACCAUGCAAAGACACAGCAUCAGUACUGCUUCAAGGCUCUCCCUGUGGCAGCAGGAGAGAAGAAGACAGAGAGUCAAGAUUCCUCCUGUGUCAUGCUUCUUGUCACAUCUCUCCUCACCUGGUGCCCCAAGAGGUGUGAGCAGAGACAGACUGCAUGUGAAUUGGGUUGCCUCACUUUCUGCUCUGACGUGAGCAUCUCUGCAGGAGCUAAUCCCUGAACAAAGCUCAUUGAGGGGGGUGAACAGUAUCAUAGCACUGUGGCUGGUGCAAAAAGGCACUGCUGAUCCCAGAUGUUUAAAAAUUGCAGAAGCUAGAAGAAUAAUAAAAUUAGCUAGAAAAAAUA